ensembl:snRNA U6 U6 spliceosomal RNA
UUUCUAUAGCAGCAAAUAUACUAAAAUUGGAAUUAUCCAAAGAUUAGAAUAGCUCCUGCACAAGAAUGACACAAAAAUUCAUGAAAUUAUACAAAACUGU